AGGUCCCUUACACGUUCAUCAAACCUACACACACAUUGCAUAUAAGUCAAAGAUCACAUAAUACAAACUUUUGAUGAUGCUUUCACAAUUUUCAUGUGACGCUUAAGUUUGACAAGAAUUUUCAUAUUAAAUUUCAUGGGAUCUUCUUUUCCAAUAAGAACAUUUUGAUUAAUUGAGCAUUGACACAGUGGUACUAAAGCAUUACACCAGGACUCUGAGGUUAAUAAUUCUAAUCCAGUCCAAAUUAGACUCAACAAAAGGAAAUAUAUGCAGAUUAAGAAAAUCCAAAGUUCUCAUGUCUGGCACAAAGAGAUAGAGAGAAUCUUAGGAGGCUUACAUUGGGUGAAGACCUUCAAUAA
rnacentral:misc_RNA from 1 species